CAAUAGCGUAUAUUUAAGUUGUUGCAGUUAAAAAGCUCGUAGUUGGAUUUCGGGUGUGAACGACCGGUCCGUCUUUGAUGUGUACUGGUUGGUUGCGCCUUAUUGUCGAGGACGUGGUUCUAGCUUUCAUUAGCCGGGACACGGAGUUGGCAGCGUUACUUUGAGAAAAUUAGAGUGUUCAAAGCAGGCUAUCGCUCUGAAUACUACAGCAUGGAAUAACACGAUAGGACUCCGAGCCUAUUCUGUUGGUCUUCGGGACCGGAGUAAUGAUUAAGAGGGACAGUUGGGGGCAUUCGUAUUCCGAUGUCAGAGGUGAAAUUCUUGGAUUUAUGAAAGACGAACUACUGCGAAAGCAUUUGCCAAGGAUGUUUUCAUUAA
rnacentral:rRNA from 1 species